GGUAUGGAAGCUUCGCAAGUGUUAAGUGGCCCAACAUCACACAGUGAGUUUAGUGGCAGGGCCGGACUGGAAUGCAGACUCCCACUGCUGCUCUUUUCCUUCCAGAUCCUUCCUGCUUCCUCUACUGCUCCUUGAGAUCCCGCUGACACCACUGAUACUGGACAUGUGACCUCACUUGCAUCAACCAGAGUGGAACUCCUGGCAAGAAGGAACAGAGGUGCUAGCUGGUAGGACAGACACAGCCAUCCUACUAUCUGUACAAGGAGAAACGGGCUCGGGGAGAGAAGCUACCACAGAAGGGAGAAAAGCAAGGUAGGGGAGAGAUAAGAGUCCAUAUAACAUGAUUUGAGUCCCUGGACUCAGCCAUGUCUAAAACCAGAUGGCACCCCCUACCUUUCCGUUACAGGAGCCAACAUCCCCUUCGGUAUUUGCGCUAGUUUGAACUGGGUGUGGGAAGGGCUCUGUCAAGGAGGUGCAGCCAAUCCAUGUGGGCUUCUAAGGAGCAUGUCCCCCCACCACCUGCAGACUAGACCCCGUCCCUUUGGUGUUCACAUCAUACCUCCAUGGCCUUCUUCAAUUGCUUGGCAUCGUAAUGGGCCGGUGGCAUCAUGAGCCCCAGAAUCAGCCUCGCCAGGUCUCCAGAGAUCUCAGACUUCAGGUCGGCCAUCAGGUCCUACAAAUGGCAGGGGUGAGGUCAUGCCAACAUCAGCACUUGCUCACAUGUGACCCAGGAUAGGGAGGAGCAUGGAAUGAGGAAAUGGGGGCUCCAUGUGAAUGCAGGGGAUGGAGGGAGACUGUGUCUGUCUUUGCUGCUGUGUUUGUCUUUGUUUACUAUUUAGAGGACGCCAAAGAGGGCAGGAUUAAAUAAAAAACAACAAACAAGCAGAGGGAAGACCCAUUCUCCAUGGAGGCAAGGAGGCGGGCAAGGAAAGGGGCAGUGCCAAGGGAGAUCGUUUCCAUCCUAGGGGAAAGCCGCCAGCUGGACACCAAGGCACAACCAUCACUGACGCUCAGCCUUGGGGCCUGAAGCCUCUGAAACUCCGAGAUCCAGAAAAUGCUACAUGAAAACAACUCGUGUCUUUCAUCUCUGCCCCCAGCUGAGCCAUUCCCACAGGAACCCUAUGUUCUUCCUCUUCAACCCCCUAGAAACUGGAGCCCAGAUCCUUCUAACCACAGCCCGUCGACUCUGGGGACAUCAGGAUACCACUUCCAGCCUCUCAGCUUAAUGCCUUGGACCUCAGACCUGGCACAGACCCCUCCUUUCAAAAGCACUUUUACCCCUGUUAUUUUAUAGUCCUAGAUAUGCUCGGUAGAUAUUACCAUUCCUGGGAAACAAAUGAAGAUAAGGCCCAGAAGGGACAGCACUUAAGCCAAGGUCCCUGGGAGGUGCCGUUAGACGGAUGAGGGGAGAAAGGAUGAUGGCAGCCAAAUGCUGGCUGCUGUCCCUGCUGGCCUUUCUGAGAAGAGGGCAUCUGUCCACAGAGUGGUUCUUCCCACUCGUUCCAAAUGGAGGAUGCGAUGUGAUAACCAGCAGGGGGCGCUCCUAGCCCCGAACUGGGGCUCUUGGAUCAAUGGGUCCACAUCUCUUCUUUUACACACCCGGGGAAAUGGACACUUGGAAGGGUUGAAGGACUUGCCUAAAGUCACACAGUGAGCCUAAGGCAAAGCUGGCAGGAGAACCCAGGCCUUAUGACCUAGUACUUCCUUCUGCAGUAGGACAGCUCUAGAAAGGGCUUGGGCCAAGUUCCUUACAAGCCUUCCUUUACUCCCUUUCUAUACUCAGGGAGCCAGGAGCCUCCUUGGGAGGGUGGAGACUUAUGUAAAAUCUGCCUCAUUCUACCGACCCUCCUUUGAGGCCUGAGCUCUUACUCCUGCCUGGCGCACUGCCAAACCUGCCACACCUGCUACCCCAGAGGCCAACCCGCCCCCUUCGUGUCCCCUUACCAAGUCCCUUCAUGGCCUUCCUCAGCGCUUUGGCAUCGGCGUCAGGGUUGAAGUUAUCAGCUGGACGCACUGUUCCCUUCAGCUGCAAGAAGCAGGAAGAGACUCAGCAGGUGCCUGCGGGCCCCCCUGGGGGCCAAGCCAUGAGAGGAGCAUGCAAGGGAGGGGGUGCUUUCCCCACGAGCCCCAAACCAAGCAGCUUGGGGGGAGGGAGGCAGGAGUGAAGGCACAGCAGACAGGCCCCUGCCCUACAGCUGAGAAAGGGAGAGGAGGAGAGACAGACCCAGGCCUGGGAGCAGGGCAAGUGCUGGUCAGGGGAGAAGUGGGCAGCUUCCUGCCCCAGGAAGUUGCUCUGUCCUAGCUCCACUGGAGCCUCCCAGUCCCUCAGAACUGUGCCCUGUCCCCAAGGCCCUCCUGCCUCUUCAGGAGCCCCUCCCUGUGACAAGGCAACCAAAUUAUCCUGAAAUACCAGAACAGAAUCUCCCAAAUUUCAGUCACUCCUAAGUGAGGUCCCUAAUGUUGCCAUAUCUGCAUAACAUCCUAUGCUCUUCCUUCAUAUUUUUACGUAAUUCAACUUCUUUUCUGUUUUAUGUUAAGUGCAUCCAUUUUUAAGUAUAUUUAAAUACUCCUAAAGGGCAAGGGGUUUUGUUCAUUAUGUCCUUGGACAUAUCCAAAGGAUCUACAACACAAGUAAGCACCCAAAAAAUAUUUGCCUAAUGAAUGAAAAUAACUUUUCAUCACUCUCAUGAAGAGAAAAUUGGUAUGAUGUGCCAUAAACAGAUGAUAACCCAUGAAAACAAAUGUAAGAAGGAGAAAAAAAAAACCCACGUUGUGUCAAAUAUCA